rnacentral:lncRNA from 1 species
AAGAAUAGCAUUUUUUUAAAUUAUAUAAAUUUAAAACUGAUAAUGACGUUUUACACCACAAACAAUUACAAAUCUCUUUUAGCAGAAAGUGUGUGUGGUUUGUGAAAUGAAAUCAGGAACAGUGGCUCGAUGUUCAAUGCACAUGGGCAGAAAUGUUCACUUUAAACUCAGAUGCUGAAACUUUAAAACAGCUGAAACUCAUGCCCCAAUAAUCAUUAAAGGAAGGACCAGAAGAAAAGAGCAGUAAGCUGGGCUUAUUAUUAAUUUGUAGGCUAGUAAUUAUCGAUAGGUUAAGAAAUUGCUUUGUUACUGGCUUUUUUAAAAAAAUCCUGGUACUGUUAAUAUUUCUAUUGUUUAUAUGAGACGUCAGUGUAACAAAUUGGAAUUCUCAUUUUCCCAGUGCUCCCUCCUAGCUAGCAAUGAUAACAUAUGUGCCUUUGGAUCUGUAGUAUUUCUAAACAUGGUUCUGCUACACACUUUCCAAUAAAGUUAAACAAGAAUUCUUUGUUGAGCUAUGUAAUAUUUAGAGGGGAGGAUAGGGGAAUAAAUCUUAACUACUGCGAAUUGUUUCCCUUCAGCCUAACUCUGAAGGAGAUCCUUGUUGGUUUUUUCAUUACUGUACUACUAGGCUGUUUACUUUGUUACACUUUUGUGGAAGGGAGCAGAACUUAGUAAAUAAUAAAAAAUAAAAAAUAAGUGGGGAGAGUUUAAUAAAAUAAGCAAAAAAUAAAUGAAAUAUAGAAGUAAAGUAAUAAUGCACUUUUAGUUAGAAAAAUUUGUUUCUAUGCUCUGUGCUAUAAUUAACAUAAGCUCUUAUGCCGCUCAAUUUAUCUAAUGAAAACAAUAUUUCAAGCAGAAGAAAUAGGCAUUAUAGUUAUUUACUGUUUCUACAGAAAAAUAUUAUUCAAACAUGAAUCUUAUCUGUUUAUAGGACCUGUCAAAUAGCUAUUAUAAACAAAUGAUAAGAGAAUAAUAAAUGCUGGAGAAAUGGCUUUUCUUUUGGAGGUAGGCUUGAAUAAUUUUGAGUUUAGAAAACAUUUUAGACACUCUAAUUUGGUAAAAGUCCUAAAAUUACACUUCACUUACAUUCUAGCUAACUGCAUUUUUCACUUUUUAAACCUGUUGAAAAAUCUUAUUUCCAAACUUGAUGGAAUGGUAAAGGAUUUUUUUAAAGUGUUUAUAAUGAAACAUUUUUAAUAGCUAGUUUUAAGAGUAUAUCUAUAAUGGAAAUAC